UAAAAAUGGCAGUGGUUGGCUGGGGGUCGAACGCUGGCAAGGUUCUUCCGGUUACCUGACUUCGUGGUAAAGGUAUGCGGGGGGCCGGUUUGCGUUUCUCCUUGCUGUUGUCAGUCACCUUUGUGGCUGUUUGAAUUUCUUGUUCAUUUUGUAGAUCUGCAUACGACGGAUUUAUUGGAGGUGGCUGUUUGGUAGGUGGCGGCGGGCUGUCAGGCUGUAGAGUCACAGAGAGGCUGUUCUUCUCUGACUUCAGCUCUGAAGUCAAACCUUAGAAAGCUGGAUCUGAGCUACAAUCACCCAGGAGACUCAGGAGUGAAGCUGCUCUCUGCUGUACUGGAGGAUCCCAGCUGUAAACUGGAGAAGCUGAAGCAGAACUGCAAUCAACUGCAUUCCCUGGCACAACAACCGCCCUGUGUACCAAUCAACGCGUCUGGAGGGCUAAGAGCUGCCAGCCAUCGCUGUGACCAGGUCCCUCAUCCUCUGACUGUAUAUGAAGCCGGUCAGUCCCCACAAGCCGUAACCAGCCCUCGACCCUGAACCUCCUGCCCUGCCUUCCCUACCAGUCCCAGGAUCUCUCAUCUCCCCUUCCCUGUGUCGUCCUGUCCCAUGCCUGCCCGUAGGACUGACCACCCCGGCUGCUGACCUCCUUUUCCGACCACGACCAUCCCAGCCAUCUCGCCCCUUGAAAGUCUGUUGCCUGAGUGAUCUAAUAAAGAUCAAUUGGUUCUGCA